AUUGAACGCUGGCGGCAGGCCUAACACAUGCAAGUCGAACGCGUGGCGGACGGGUGAGUAAUGUAUGGGAAACUGCCCGAUGGAGGGGGAUCACUACUGGAAACGGUAGCUAAUACCGCAUACCAUCGGAUGUGCCCGGCUGGGAUUAGCGAGUUGGUGGGGUAACGGCUCACCUAGGCGACGAUCCCUAGCUGGUCUGAGAGGCUGACCAGCCACACUGGAACUGAGACACGGUCCAGAAUCCUACGGGAGGCAGCAGUGGGGAAGAUUGCACAAUGGGCGCAAGCCUGAUGCAGCCAUGCCGCGUGUAUGAAGAAGGCCUUCGGGUUGUAAAGUACUUUCAGCGGGGAGGCGUUACCCGCAGAAGAAGCACCGGCGAACUCCGUGCCAGCAGCCGCGGUAAUUC
rnacentral:rRNA from 1 species